UACGUAGGUGGCAAGCGUUGUCCGGAUUUAUUGGGUUUAAAGGGUGCGUAGGCGGCCCUGUAAGUCAGUGCUGAAAUAUCCCGGCUUAACCGGGAGGGUGGCAUUGAUACUGCAGGGCUUGAGUAAAGUUGAGGUAGGCGGAAUUGACGGGUGUAGCGGUGAAAUGCUUAGAUAUCGUCAAGAACACCGAUAGUGUAGACAGCUUACUAAGCUUUAACUGAC
rnacentral:rRNA from 1 species